ensembl:lncRNA
AACACACCAACAUUGUGGUUCCUAAAUUGUAGCCACGCUACUUAUGGAUGGCCAAUAAAUUACUUCACUCAUAUGAUAGAUAUAAAUAAAUGCUUCAUUUGAGUUCAAUUAAUAAGAUGGUGUCAGGGCAUCAUGCAGACGACAUAAUACAUGAGGAAAAACAACACAACCCCAGUGACAUCUCUGAUUUUUUUUUCCCGACGCAUGAAAACUAUCUUUUCCAACUUCCAAAAGAUGGAAUAAGACACUUAUUUCCAUACAAAAUACAUUUAGGUCCAUGUUUUUCUUUUAAAGGGGCAACUACACCACGUGAAACAUACAUUCACCGAUAGUCUCAAAAUCAUGUCGAUAUGUAUUUGUCCCCCAUUGGGUGUGGGCAUUUCAAUGAUUUCCAUGACAGCAGAAAGCUAAACUCAAAAUACGAUAAAUGUACAUUAUCUUGAUAAUCAUCAGAGGCAGAGACACUUUUCAGAUUCAUCUUUGGGCAUUAUUCUAUAUGUUUUCAUAUAGAGUUGAAAGUUGUUUCACAGUAUAAAAUCUUGAAUGAAUUGCUAACACACCUUGAUUUUUCUGCUUCUUGCUCUGAAAUGUAUUUGGAUCGGAGGUAAGAGACAAAUGACACUGCUCAAAAGAGCUUCUAGAGACCUUGAUGUGCAAAACUUUCAGAUUCAUAUAUUCAAAAAUAAAUUAUUUUUAAGUGAAAUGGGGAAGAGGUUGAGUCACGGGGUAGGGGGACGCCUAUAGUUUAUACUCUGCAUAAAUAGCUUUCAGUGUCUUCCAGGUGGGGGCAACAGUCAGUCAGUUUUGAGAGAAAGGAGGUCAAGCUCUUUAAGCUCCCUGAGUCGAGUCCGGUUACAGAAGAUGAAAAUGACUUCCUGGCAGUAACACUGUGAAUAAAACAACCGCAAGCCUCCAGAAGAUGAGACUUCUGGGCUCAGCUCCAGCCACCAGGCGGAAAGCAGCGGAUCAGCCACCAGUGCGUGCCAGCUUGAGGGAGAACAGAGGCAGCCCUGGACGCGCACGCGCGCUGAGCACCUGCCCAGCACUGCUGGGAUGCCGGUUACGGCUAAGUCGGUCCAGAUGCGCAUCCCUCGGCGUGCGUGCGGAUCCAGGCUGCUUGUCAGUUUCUGGCCUGCCGGGAUCUUUGAGAAGCAGGACGAUCAUUUGCGUUUACAUCUCAUUCAUUCUUCCUUUAGGCAAUUCAAGUCCAUUCACAACUGGUGCGGACUAGGCGCCGGCAAUCCGCUUUCCGCACAUCCUCAGACUUUGGGAAGGGGCAGCCACACAUUCUGGUCAGAGUGAGGUGACGCAUAAAGCAGAGAUCUGGGUAAAAGGACACCCCCUUCCCUUCUCCCCGACACACACACACACACACACACACACACACACACACACACACACACACACACACACACACACACCAGCAUCCUUGUCUCUUCUGUUUUCCUCUCUCGCCCAAGGUAAAGAAAGUAGAGAACAGAAAGACAGAAGCGGGAAACUGAGGCUCCACGUUGACUGAAGUGGUCCAUGGUCACAGAUGAAGCGGGGGCAGAAACCCCAGCGCACUGAGCUCAAGGCCGGGUCCUCCGGGGGCCUCUCAGGACAGGCGGUGCACGGGGAGCCGGGUGUGCUGUCCCUCUACGUGUCGCUCCUCCUGCCGCUGCCUGGAGCUGCGGUCGCCCGAGCCCUGGAGCCACCCCCGCCGCUUCCUGCCGAGCCCGCAGCCGCCCCUUCGGGCCGAUACUUGAGCCAGCAGAUGAUCCAGGUGACGACCACCGAGAAGAGAGCCAGGAUGCUAGCCACUGACAGGCAGAUGGGUCCUACGGGCGAGGGCGAGGGCGAUCCGGGGGCUGGGGCGGGGCCGGGGGACGAACCGCUGCUCGGGGGUCCCCCACCCCCGCCGCCGCCCCCGCCGCCGCCGUAGUGAUUGACGAAGAUGAGGCCGGUGAACAGCAGCACCACCAUGGAGAGGAACGAGAAGACCACGCACACACAGCCGGCGGCGGUAAGAACACUGCACUUUCCAUCCCUAUCCUCUGAAGAUCGCAAGGUGCCACGAGGAAUAGCUGCAGAAACGACUGGGAAGCAAACUCAAGAAAGAAACCAGCAAGAAUUUCCCAGAAGGGCCGGGGAUGCAGCUGAGUGGGGAGAGUGCUGACACGCACGCAGGAAAGCCCAGUGUCAUCCUGAGCACUACAUACAGCAUAAACCUGUAACAAUCCAGCACUUGGGAGGUGGGGGCAGCAGUCUAGAGAUUCUUAGCAUCCUCAACUACAUAUGGAGUUUGAGGCCAGCCAGGGCCUGUCUCCAAACACAAACUAAAACAAAGCAAAAUGAAUUUCUGGGGGAAUUCUAAGUGACUAUGACAUAUCUGGAGCAUUUGAAAAUAAGUACAGUUUUACUCUGUGUGAACAGUGAAAGCAAUCUGUUUUAAGUUAAACUUGUUAAAAACACUAACUUUUUUACUUUAGAGCUUUAUAAUUAUUAUUUGGGACAAUGUAUCUUUUUAAAUAUCUCACUCUGCGAUGGAGACAGUAAUGAGAGGUCCAGUUGAUGGGACAACAAAAAAGCUGUCCUCUGGCCUUGAAACUCAGAGCUAGCUGAGUUUCAAAAGUACUUCUCACUUGUCCACUUUCAGCAUGUGUGUCUCACACACAGUUUCACACUGGAUUCUUUACACUCUGAUUAGGUGUGUGCUAUGCUUGCAAUGUCAAUUAGAACUUGAAAUGGUCUCACAAGAGAGCUAAUGUGGAUGGGUAUGGUUCUUUUCACACACCCAGCUUCAUGCUGAAGAUGCCCAAAAGGUGACUGCAAGAGCUCUGAAGACAUGUGUGUUAGGAUAUAAUGUGUACUUGGGUAAAACACUUAAGCUUUAGCAGUUAUAGCCGGCAGUGCAUUCUCACCUUACACCAGGGCUUCUCAUACCAGCACUACUGACAUUUUGAACUGGUUAAAUUUUUAUUGCAGGUGCUGUUCUGUGCAUGGCCAAAGUUAAAUGGUGUCCUUGGCCUCUACUCAUUUGAAGUCAAUAGCAAAGCAUCCCAAUUUAACAACCAACGUUACCCCCUGAGGACAAAAUUAUCCCUGGCUACGACUUGCACAAAGACCACAGAUUUGCUUUAAGUGAGAUCUGAACCAGAUCUUCCAGCUCCUAUCUAGUAUAUGCAAGCAGGGUCCCCAAGGUAUUUAUCACAUCGUGAUAGGUCAUGGUGGUUUAAGUCCCAAAGCACAGAAUAAUCUUUGAAAGACACUGUUAUAAUUUUUGUGAAUACUUUCUAUAAACAAGUACAGGACUUUGGCUAACAAUGACAGAACUUACUGUGUUUGAGUAGGUUUUGUUUUUUGUUUUGUCUUGGGUAGACAGUAUCCCACACUAUAACUCAGGAUGACCUGGAACUCACUAGCAACAAACACAGCAAUCUUCCUCUGUUAGCCUCCCAAGUAUUGGAAUCACAGGCAUGAACCAGCACACACAGUUUGGAUAGUGUUUUGAGGGGAACCCAACACUUCAAUUAUUUUAUAUCUUGGGGACAGAUGUUAAUUUCUAGGACUCAUAAGGUGUUUUAUAAAGACUUCCUUGGAACAAUGGGGAGGGUUGGUGACAUCUAGAGACCUAGUGGACUAUAAUGCCCAGUCCAGUCAUGUUGCUUCCAAGAGUAAGCAUGGAAGCUUGGUCAUGUUGGGGAACUGGACUUUCCCUGGGAAGAAAAUGUGUUGAACUGGAACUUAAGUUGUCAACGAAUAGUUCAUUAUUCAUUCUAGGAUUUGAAUUGGCUUCACCAGAACACUACUCGUAUCUUGAACAUAUUAGAUACUAUUUGCUGGAUUAUUUUAUUUUUGAGGACCCAAGGAAAUGGGAAACAGCCAUGCUCUCUAACUAUCUCUUGUCUAUGGUCCUUCCCUUGGCUACCUAAAGAAUGUUCUAGUUUCAGAAGUCUCUGUCUCAACAAAAGGUUUAAGAGAUUUUCAUUCACAGAACAUGUGCCUUGGCAGUUCCAGAUCCUAGGUUGGCUUUUCACCUUUUGUGUAUUUGUAGGCUACCUUUUCUGUGCCUUGGUUCCCCAAACUAAAAUUUGGACAAAAGUACUUACUGUGUAGUUAUUUAUUGCACAUUGUAAGGAUCGGAUGUGUUGUGUAUGUAACAUGAAAUAAUAGGCCCUGGGCACUGGUAACACUCAUUAUUAUUUAUGUUGGGGUUCCUGUAUGCCUUCUAGGGAUCCUCACAGGCAUUUGUGAGGAUCUCUAGAUCAGUGUCCUCAGUGUCUGUGGGACCCAGUCCAAAGUGGAGCAGCCAAAGGCAAUGGGGCAGAUGUCAUCCAGUUCUUCUGACAAUCAAAGUUGAGACACAGGUAGCAUCCCAGCCACAGGACCAGCUUUCCUCUGAAGUCAGCCACACUCCACAGAUCUGCCAGCUGUAAUAAACAAAGCCCUUCAUAAAUCCUCAGGGCCAAGUGAAAUCUCAUUGUUCAUAUUGGAGGGAUAGAUGUCUAGGCAGAUAAAGCUACUCAGAAUCAAGUAUUAAAUCAUUCCAUCAAAUAGUUGACAUUUUAAAAUAGAAACCAGGUCGAUGAAAUUCAGCAUUUGCCCAGGUCCUGUUUCAGAAGGCAUUGAAACUGGUGAGGAUGCCUGGCCUCUAGCAACCAAGAGUUCAAUGGAAGAGUCCAAGGAAACAGACUGAGCUGUGACUAUCCUAGAGGAGACAAUGAGACAGAAAAAGGGCACUGGGGACAACCUAAGGAAAUUUGAAUAAAGUCGAUUUUAGUGAACAAUAAUGUAUAAAAAUGGGUCUUUGGUUAUGAUAAAUAUAGAAUAUUAAUGUAAGGUAUAAAAACAAGAAACUAGGUGUGGUGAUUCUGAGGACACUGGGAAUCUUUGCAAGUUUCUGUAAGUCUAAAACUAUUCUAAAAUAUAAGUUUAAUUUUCAUUGUAUAGAUUUCUGGAAUUGUUUUUGUUGGCUUUGCAAUACUGUAACAAAAUUGCUGAGAUAACCAAAUUAUAAAGGACAAAGGCUU